rnacentral:rRNA from 1 species
UCUGGUGACUAUAGCAAGGAGGUCACACCUGUUCCUAUGCCGAACACAGAAGUUAAGCUCCUUAGCGUCGAUGGUAGUCGAACUUACGUUCCGCUAGAGUAGAACGUUGCCAG